rnacentral:rRNA from 1 species
CAAUAGCGUAUAUUUAAGUUGUUGCAGUUAAAAAGUUCGUAGUUGGAUUUUGGGUCGGGGGCACCGGUCCGCCGUUCCGGUGUGCACUGGUGGCCCCUUCCUUUCUGCCGGGGACGUGCGUCGCACUUAAUUGGGUGGCGUUCGGAGUCGGCGUUGUUACUUUGAAAAAAUUAGAGUGUUCAAAGCAAGCCAUCGCUCUGAAUACAUUAGCAUGGAAUAACAUGAUAGGACUCCGGUCUUAUUUUGUUGGUUUCCGAGACUGGAGUAAUGAUUAAGAGGGACAGUCGGGGGCAUCCGUAUUUCAUUGUCAGAGGUGAAAUUCUUGGAUUUAUGAAAGACGAACUUCUGCGAAAGCAUUUGCCAAGGAUGUUUUCAUUAA